CCCCCAUACACCUAUUCGAGACCCUCUGGACCUAAUAGUACCACCACCAACAACUACGUCAGAGCAGAUGGUCAGAGUACUUGCAAUUUUAUCACGGAUCGACCAUCAACUAAGGUUCAUGCUGCUCCCGGAGGAGGUUCUUCUUUGGGUUACCUUUUUGGUGGCGGCAGCGGCAGCAGCAGCAACUAAGCAACAGCCAGGGUCCUGCAGCCGGGAUCGCCAAAGUGUGUUUCGAGAUAUUUAUUUGUAAAAAUGUGGCAGCAAUAUGGUAUUUUACGUCUUUGCUGCAAGCCUCGUGGGAUGUUUCUGUUUAAGGGUUUGGGUUAUUUGUUUGUAAAUGUAACAGCAAAUUAUGGUAUUGUGUCUCUGCUGCAAGAGUUGUCAAUAGUUUUUCUACAGACAGAUAUGAAUUCGUUGGUAAAUUUGAAGUGUGAAUCGCUACAUCUUAGUUGUGUUUGGAUGCAUAAUAAUAAGCAUCUCUCAAAAAGGCUUCCUUUGUAAAAUAACUAAACCAUAUUCUAGAUUGUAUUAUUGUGAUUUUAUGGGAUUUUUCA